UGGGUGACAUUAGAUCUCUGUCUUUUUAGAGGGUGUGAUUGCCCAGCUCAAAAUUCAGUGGAAAAACACUAAUCCUAUUAAAAAAAGGUUGUUUUCAUCAUAUUUUCACCAAGACUAACUCAGGCUCUAUCAUAAAUCACAAAGGAGGAUGAGCUUCAAAGAGAUUUAUGGCAUUAUUGGCAGUGGAUCAAGGCUGGCCCUGUGACCUUCCCCAGACAUGUGGAACCAAACACCAGUCACUGUGGAAUGCUUGCCUGGAAGGAUGAAAGACCAAAGAAGCCAACAGAAACAUUCUACCCACUGGUGAGAGGUAAAAUAAAACACUCAGUUGCCUUAAAACUGAAACAAGCAAAUAAAUUCUCUGCUGCUCCAAGCCCUGCCUAAACCUCAAAAAAAUGUUAACAUCCUAUGUGUGUCAAGAGAGUUAUUUAUGAAACUAUUUUCUUGUCAGCCACUGCAGUACAUUCUGUCCCUUUGCUAAGAUACUGUAAAUUCGUGAAUGAUGAGUAAAAGCCUUACUUUGGCAGAAAUAUUCAUAUUUAUCUGAAAAAAGAAAAUUAUCAGCUUGCUUCAAUGCUGAGAUAGUAUUUCUUCCACUAGUGGUAUGCAAUUAUACCAUGCUCUCCCCCUGUGCUAAGGCUCUAACUUGUAGCAGACAGGGUUUGUUAGUUCAGUAAAGGAUGUCGGUUUGGCUGAAGCACACUUGCUUCCUUAACAGCUUCAAAGCUUUCUCCUAGCGUUAAACUUUCAGACUUUGUGCACAUGCUUUCUGUUGUGAACAACUGUUAGUAGUCUCCUGCAGGGAGAGCUGGGUGCUAAAAGCACUGCA